GACGAACGCUGGCGGCGUGCUUAACACAUGCAAGUCGAACGGUGAAGCAGGUGCUUGCACUUGUGGAUCAGUGGCGAACGGGUGAGUAACACGUGAGUAACCUGCCCAUCACUCUGGGAUAAGCGCUGGAAACGGCGUCUAAUACUGGAUACGACCAACCCUUGCAUGGGGUGUUGGUGGAAAGAUUUAUCGGGGGUGGAUGGACUCGCGGCCUAUCAGCUUGUUGGUGGGGUAAUGGCCUACCAAGGCGACGACGGGUAGCCGGCCUGAGAGGGUGACCGGCCACACUGGGACUGAGACACGGCCCAGACUCCUACGGGAGGCAGCAGUGGGGAAUAUUGCACAAUGGGCGAAAGCCUGAUGCAGCGACGCCGCGUGAGGGAUGACGGCCUUCGGGUUGUAAACCUCUUUCAGCAGGGAAGAAGCUUUUGUGACGGUACCUGCAGAAGAAGCACCGGCUAACUACGUGCCAGCAGCCGCCGUAAGAC
rnacentral:rRNA from 1 species